UUGCCCGAGGAGCGUUGCAACGCACGGCGCGCGAGCCCUUCGCCGCCCUGUGCCAGGCUCGGGACUUUGAUCGCAGGCCGCUUCUUUCUCCUUGCUGGCGGCUUUCCUUCAACGGCGCUCACCCAAC
rnacentral:ncRNA from 2 species